rnacentral:rRNA from 1 species
AUGGCUAACAGCAGCUGGACCUCACCGGAGAUCACGUCACCUGCCACGGUCUGGGAGCAGACCAGAACGCUCAAUUUCGAGGUGACCGAUUACCUGCAGCUCGAUGGCAUGGGUGUCGGCGAGUUCAUUAGUUCGCCCCUCGUCGAAGUCGGCGGCUACAAGUGGAAGAUCAAAUUCUACCCGGACGGGAUCGACGAGGACUGUGACGGCCACGCCUCAGCGUUUUUGCGCUGUUACAGCCAAGACACGGAUCCGGAUGUGAUUGCCAAGGUCACGCUGAGCAUCCUAGAGAAAAGGAGCCAGGUAAACGUAGCCAGCUUCGAUAAGCUCAAGUGCGUCUUCUCUCGGUGCGAUUUCCCUGCAUGGGGUCACCAGGAAUUCGUCGACAAGUCCAAGCUGGAAUCGCUGUCGGAACUCGGGGACGGCUGCUUCACGAUACGCUGUUUCACGAUCCGGUGCGUGCUCAACGUCAGGAGCGAGUCCCCGCCGCUGGAGCUACACGAUGACCUCGAGCGCAUGCUCGAGGAUGGGCUGGGUGCGGACGUCACGUUUGGCGUGGGCGGCCGGGAAUUCGACGCGCACAGGUCCAUCAUGGCGGCACGGUCGCCGGUGUUCCGGGCGCAGUUCUUCGGCCCGAUGGCGGAGAAGGACAUGAGGCACGUCGAGGUCAUCGACAUGGAACCUACCAUCUUCGAGACGAUGCUUCGCUAUAUCUACAACGAUAAACUCCCGUCCAGCAACGACGACGGAGGAGGCUACAACGCUGCAAUAAUGCAACAUUUGCUCAUCGCGGUGGAUAGGUAUGGGCUGAACAGACUGAAGCUCAUGUGCGAAGAGGAGCUGUGCAAGAGGAUGGACGUGGAGACUCUCAUGACCACGUUAUCGUUGGCGGAUCGGCAUCAUUGUGAGCGGCUAAAGGAUACCUGUGUUGAGUUUAUGUUGUCCAAGAAGGUAAUGACCGCCCUUACAGAGACCGACGGGUUCAAGGAGUACAUACACACAUAUUGUCGACCAUUACCUUUGGAGGAUGAACUCACGAAGAAAGGACAGCCGUCGACCGAGAAGGAGUAAUGGUCCAAUCCAAAAAUCCAAAAGGGUAUGUAUGCAUACCAAGAGUUAACUUCCUCGCCUUUUUUUAGAUCGUUUACACAUUUUUCUAUCAGCUCAUCAUACACCAUAUAG